rnacentral:lncRNA from 1 species
AUUACUGUCAUUCCAAUUGAAGUGUUGCUCAAAUAUUGAUUCAACACAUUACCUCGGGCUGACCAAUUCAUUUCAUCAAGUUCCUCGAAAUAUUCAUACACUUCCUAGUAUAAUUGUAAACUUUCUGUUGAAUAGUUUGAAUGCACCAAUCACCUUUGUUGUUUGUGCAACUAACCAAUCAUAAAUAGAAAGGAAGUGACCAGAAAUGAUCAAAUACUUGGAAUUGGCUCUUUCACAGGAAGUGUAUGAAUAUCUCGAGGAACUUGAUCAAAUGAAUUGGUCAGCCCGAGGUAACGUAUUGAAUCAAUAUUUGAGCAACACUUCAAUUGGAACGACAGUAA